rnacentral:rRNA from 1 species
UACGUAGGUGGCUAGCGUUGUCCGGAAUUACUGGGUGUAAAGCGCGUGUAGGCGGGAGGCCAAGUCUGUGGUGAAAUCGCCUGGCUUAACUGGGCGGGGUCCAUGGAAACUGGUCACCUGGAGGUCGGUAGAGGCAAGUGGAAUUCCCGGUGUAGUGGUGAAAUGCGUAGAGAUCGGGAGGAACACCAGUGGCGAAGGCGGCUUGCUGGGCCGGACCUGACGCUGAGACGCGAAGGCGUGGGGAGCGAACGGG